CAGAGAGGCAAAACUUGCUGAAAGGAUGACAGCACAAAUGCAGUGCAGAUCAUUUACUGCUUGAUUUCCUUGGCCUACUUUGUGUUGUGGUUUGUAUCUGGGGCCAUUUCAGGCAUUAGAAGAGCAGCAGCAAGUAAAUGAAAAGAAUGUGUCCUGGCAGGAUUUCUUAAUGUUGUCCUUCUGAACAAUGCUGUAGCAUGUUGUACAAAAGAGAUGUAUAGGAAAAGGAAGCCCACAGUACAGCAUGGUUAUGUUAACAACACUGCCAGAAAGAUUAUCACAAGCAUGAAGCGGAUUCUUUUCUGAUAGGUGACAGCAGAGAUCAUGCUACCCCCUGUUCAACAAGACUCUUUUCACCUUCUCCC